UAGUUAAAUCUGAGAUGGGAGCACAGAUCUGUAGAAGAGGAGCCUCAAAAUCUGAAAGUUGCCUUGUUUCACCACAGCUGUCCAGAACCAGCCUUGAUGCCAUCACUACUUCCAGAAAAAAAAAUAGUUCCUAAAUAUCCCACAGAAGAAAACAAGAGAGGCCAAAUUGGUAAGUUCUCCCAUGAGUUGACUAGUGUCACUGGCAGAGGAGCUAAGAAUAGUUCUCCAUGGGUCAACUGUCUUCUCCAUAUACUACAUGCUUCUGUAAGGAGAUUGGAUGAUGACGAUACACAAUAAUCUUGUAUUUGUAAGUAGUAAGAACAACUAUUUUAAAAUGAAAGGAUUCAGUCUUUUCUCUUAGAGGUGUUCAUUAGUUUUUAAUCAUGAAAUAAAAUUAUUGCCCAUGAUUCUGAGGUUCUGUGUCUUGAUACUCUAAAACAUUAUAUACAGUGAAACAGCAUUCUGUUAGGAUUUGUCCAAUAAAGUACUUUUCAUUAUCAUAAUGUUUUAAACAUGUAGACUCAGUAAUCCUUACUCUAAGAAUGUAGAGAUAUGACUGUGCUAAGGCAAUAAGUAUGAAUAAACAGAAAUGUAUAGCUAGCUAACAUCACAGCUUAACUCAAAAGGUCUGAACCAAGCCUAAAGCAGAAAAGUAUGACAAGUGAAAGCACUGCCCAAAUGCCCUUGGAGCAUAAUUAUGAGCCCAUUUUAAGGGGCAAAUACUAAUAGAAUUGGAUGAAGGAUUGUGGGACAGAAGAUUUAGGGGUAAAGAAUAGUAUUAAAGCUCAACGGAAAGAGAACAAAAACUACUCAAUCUCCUUGUAUUCGCUCAGCCCCCAAUAAUCUUGACCCUCUACUGCUUUGCUACUCAAAAUGUGGUCCAUGGAACGCCAGCACCAACAUCAUCUGGAGCUAGUUAAAAACAAAGGAUAUAGGCUGGUGCCUUUAAUCCCAGCACUUUGGGAGACCAAGGCGGGGCCAAUCACUUGAGUCCAGGAG
rnacentral:lncRNA from 1 species